CGACCUAAAGUAGGGAAUUUUCCUCAAUGGAGGAAAGUUGGAGGGAGCAAACACGCGUGAACGAUGAAGGCCUUCGGGUCCAAAGUUCUGUUAUUAGGGAUGGACAAGUACCGUUCAAAUAGAGCGGUACCUUGACGGUACCUAACCAGAAAACCACGGCUAAUUACGUGCCAGCAGCCGGGGUAAUAAGUAGGUGGCAAGCGUUGUCCGGAAUUAUUGGGCGUAAAAAAGGCGCAGGCGGUCCUUUAAGUAUGAUGUGAAAUAUCGUGGCUCAACCACGAAGGUCCAUUGGAAACUGGGGGACUUGAGAACACAAGAGGAGAGUGGGAUUCCAUGUGUAGCGCGGAAAAGCGUAGAUAUAUGGAGGAACACCAGUGGGGAAGGGGACUCUCUGGUCUGUACCUGACGCUGAGGCGCGAAAGCGUGGGGAGCAAACAGGAUUAUAUAUCCUGGUAGUGCCCUCCGUGAACGAGGAGUGCUAGGUGUUAGGGGUUUCCUGGCCUUAGGCCGCAGUAACACAUAAGACAAUCCUGGGAUCGACUGGUUUUAAAAAAAAAAGCGA
rnacentral:rRNA from 1 species